GUGGGGAAUAUUGGACAAUGGGCGAAAGCCUGAUCCAGCCAUGCCGCGUGUGUGAAGAAGGUCUUCGGAUUGUAAAGCACUUUAAGUUGGGAGGAAGGGCAGUAAGUUAAUACCUUGCUGUUUUGACGAUACCGACAGAAUAAGCACCGGCUAACUUCGUGCCAGCAGCCGCGGUAAUACGAAGGGUGCAAGCGUUGAUCGGAAUUACUGGGCGUAAAGCGCGCGUAGGUGGUUUUGUAAGUUGGAGGUGAAAUCCCCGGGCUCAACCUGGGAACUGCCUCCAAAACUGCAUGACUAGAGUGCGGUAGAGGGUAGUGAAAAGUCCUGUGUAGCGGUGAAAUGCGUAGAUAUAGGAAGGAACACCAGUGGCGAAGGCGACUACCUGGACUGAUACUAACACUGAGGUGCGAAAGCGUGGGGAGCAAACAGGAUUAGAUACCCCUGUAGUCC
rnacentral:rRNA from 1 species